CCUACGGUGGGCAGCAGUGGGGAAUAUUGCACAAUGGGGGAAACCCUGAUGCAGCGACGCCGCGUGAGUGAAGAAGUAAUUCGUUAUGUAAAGCUCUAUCAGCAGGGAAGAAAAUGACGGUACCUGAGUAAGAAGCCCCGGCUAACUACGUGCCAGCAGCCGCGGUACUACGUAGGGGGCAAGCGUUAUCCGGAUUUACUGGGUGUAAAGGGAGCGUAGACGGGAGGGCAAGUCUGGAGUGAAAGGCGGGGGCACAACCCCCGGACUGCUCUGGAAACUGUACGGCUGGAGUGCAGGAGAGGUAAGUGGAAUUCCUAGUGUAGCGGUGAAAUGCGUAGAUAUUAGGAGGAACACCAGUGGCGAAGGCGGCUUACUGGACUGUAACUGACGUUGAGGCUCGAAAGCGUGGGGAGCAAACAGGAUUAGAUACCCCUGUAGUC
rnacentral:rRNA from 1 species